GUAAAGAACUUCAUCAGGGACCGUAUAUAAGAAAUAAAAUCAAUAUACAUGUUUUUUUUUAUAUACUGUAAUUGUAUAUUGAUUUUAUUUCUUAUAUACGGUCCCUGAUGAAGUUCUUUA